rnacentral:rRNA from 1 species
UACGGGGGGGGCAAGCGUUGUUCGGAAUUACUGGGCGUAAAGGGCGCGUAGGCGGCCAACUAAGUCGGAUGUGAAAUCCCCAGGCUCAACUUGGGAACUGCAUCCGAUACUGGUCGGCUUGAAUCCGGGAGAGGGAUGCAGAAUUCCAGGUGUAGCGGUGAAAUGCGUAGAUAUCUGGAGGAAUACCGGUGGCGAAGGCGGCAUCCUGGACCGGCAUUGACGCUGAUGUGCGAAAGCUAGGGGAGCAAACGGGG